UACGGAGGGUGCAAGCGUUAUCCGGAUUCACUGGGUUUAAAGGGUGCGUAGGUGGGCAAGUAAGCCAGUGGUGAAAUCUCCGGGCUUAACCCGGAAACUGCCAUUGAUACUAUUUGUCUUGAAUACUGUGGAGGUCAGCGGAAUAUGUCAUGUAGCGGUGAAAUGCUUAGAUAUGACAUAGAACACCAAUUGCGAAGGCAGCUGGCUACACAAAUAUUGACACUGAGGCACGAAAGCGUGGGGAUCAAACAGG
rnacentral:rRNA from 1 species